GGGCUCCACCCAGUUAGAGCUUCCAGGCUGCUUUGUUUACCUAAUCAAGCCUGGGCAAUGGCGGGCGCCCCUCCCCCAGCCUCGCUGCUGCCUUGCAGUUUGAUCUCAGACUGCUGUGCUAGCAAUCAGCGAGAUUCCGUGGGCGUAGGACCCUCCGAGCCAGGUGCAGGAUAAAAUCUCGUGGUGCGCCGUUUUUUAAGCCGGUUGGAAAAGCGCAGUAUUUGGGUGGGAGUGCCCGAUUUUCCAGACAACUUUGCACCAUGCGGACAGGUCAAAUGAGACCAGAAGUAUUAUGAACCAAUGCUAAUCAGGACUGUUUCCUGCACUCUGAGACCAAAGGGGCCAUUCUCACAAAGAAAGAGCUCCUGCCAUGUUACAUGCCUGCUCUCCAUCUGCCUUCCAACAUGAUUGGAAGCUUUCCGAUGCCCUCACCAGAAGCAAAUGCUGGUGCCGUGCUUUCUGUACUGCCUGCAGAACUGCUUUCGGCAUUUGGCAUCCACAGGAAACUCCAGCUUGACUUAAGGAGUGAGAAGUAGAUCCUGAGCCAAGUGCAAAGAGUUUCUUUGGAACAAGAAAACAUGACAAGGAAGUGGAGAAAUGAGAGCGGCAAGGUGGACAAAGGGGAUUUUGGAGACCAAAAAAGUCCUCAGGCAAACAGAUGCAGGUGCUAGCAGUUGGAAGUCAGGCCCAAGAGCUCUGAUGCGUGUGAUAAUAUGGGAAUUAAUAAGCCUGCUAUAUUUGAAAACCUCCCUGAUAUGCCAGGGUCAAUCUGGAUCCUCCGUCAAGCAGACACCAAGAUAGGAGUUGACACUGAAGAAAGAGCAUGUAAAGGAUAAAGAUCAGGCCUUAAGAAACUGGCAGUUCCUACUUCCUGUCUCUUCAGACACUCUGGAAACCACCAUGCUGUGAGGAAGCCCAAGUAGUUCCUGGAGAGAUCUACACCAAUAACUGAAGCCCCAAGGCCCUAGCACUGGCUGAGCUCCCAGCUGAAAGCCAGCACCAAAUUUCCAUAACUUUGAGUGAACCAUCUUGGAAGUGUAUAUUCCAGUUCCAGGUUAAGUGUACUCAGAAAUAACCUGCCCCAUUGAUCCCUGUAAAAAUUGGAGAUCUGAAAGCAAAAUACAAUAUUGUUGACAUUUUAAGUCAGUAGGGUUUGGGGCAGUUUAUUGUAUCAGUGAACUUUGCCUAGGUUGGUUUUACCUAGAGGCCUUCUAUAGUACAUAAUAGAGUACCUUGGUCUGGUUAUAGGGAUUUUGUGCCUUCCUUUACAUUUUAAAGUGAAAGAAAAAUAUCUUUUCUGUGAACAUGAAUUUUUUAUUAUUAUUGUUAUACUUUUAAGUUCUAGGGUACAUGUGCACAAUGUGCAGGUUUGUUACAUUGGUAUACAUGUGCCAUGUUUGUUUGCUGCAUCCAUCAACUCGUCAUUUACAUUAGGUAUUUCUCCUAAUGCUAUCCCUCCCCCAGCUCCCCAGCCCCCAACAGGCCCGGGUGUGUGAUGUUCCCCUCCCUGUGUCCAUGUGUUGUCAUGAACAUCAAUAUUUUUAAUGAGGGCAUUAAGUUUACUCUAUUGUGUGGUUAUCCUGUAUUCUUGUAGCAUUGUCUCGUUUAGUCCGUAGAGAAAGAUCACAUCCCUGUAGUGUGUGAUCUACUAUAAAAUGAGUUGGGGUUUUUUGUGUCAAUAAAAUGAGUUGCAACAAAAUGAGUUGGGUUUUUUUGUGUCAAUAAGUGGGGACAGUGGGAAAAUUUCCUUAAGGAAAGCACAUGAGAUUUGGUGAUUUGGGGCAGA
rnacentral:lncRNA from 10 species